UUAAAUUGCACAGUUACUUUAAAUUCUUAAAUAUGCAUUUAUCACGCAUGUCCACAAGAGGAAGCACUGCCUCGGAUGACUUUGAUGCAAAAUCCUACAGGCGUAUUCAUCCAGGCAGCUCAUAUGAGUAAAAUGAAGUAUAGUAAGACAUGACCUGGGAAAAGAAGCAGAAACUCUUUAAUAGGCCUAUUAACAUAAGAUUGGCAUUUUCUUAAGGAAAUAGGCCUAGCCUAUUAAAUUAUAUUUUAGAAGCUAUAAACCAAAAUAUAAGUCGAAGGAGAAAAGGAGAUGCAAUAUAAUAAAGAAUUUUUAUUUAAGACUGACUGAAGACAGAAAACAAAUAAAUUAAAAAAUGUAAUAAAUGUAAUUGCCAUCCAAUGCAAAUAUCAUUAUAAAUACCCGACUUAAAUAAUCCGUUUAUUCAUUUAUUAAAGAUUUUUCAGCGACUUCCUACACAAUUACUCAUAUUCGUGUGGAACACUUGAAAACACAUGAUACCCUCAUGUUUUUAUAUCACAAAGCGUUUGACCCGUUUACAAAAGAAAGUUCACUUUAAUGUCGUCAAAUCUAAGUUAUAGAUUGUAUGUCAGUAUAGUAGAAGUUUUGUUUAACAGUGUUAGUACAAGCCUUGGGUGAUAUCGAUGAUUUGUCAGACUUCCAAAAAGCCAGUUUAGCAGGAGUGUCUAACCUUAUCAGCCCAAUUAUUUUGGUGAUUCAAGAACAAGUCUUUUUGAUUAUGAGUAUGUACACAAAGCAUGGCAAGACUUCAUCAGCGAAGAAGAAUAGUGGAUGAAAACUGAAAGUGAAUCACAGGGAUCCACAAACACUAAGAUUGUGCCCAAACAACACAGAACUGCUGCUGCAAAGUAACAGCAAACAUUAAUAUUCACACUGAAGGGUUUUCCACAAAAACUAGCCAAAGACAACUUCACAAAGCCAACAUCCAAUAAAGAUGCAAUUGCUAAAACUUGAAUCAGACGCCAAUGUUAAAAUGCGAUGGAUGGAGCAACAAUCUGCCCUGGCCAGCUCAAUCACCAGAUCUGAAUACUAUUAAACCAUUAAAGGGUAGUUUUGGAGAGAAGAGAGAGGCAGAUUUCCUCCUACAACAUGCAGAUGUUUCAUAGACAGCAUUCAAAAUGUCACAUUCCAUUGGAGAAAAGUUCAAACGUUUUAGGAAUCUCCACUAAGAAGGGAAGCUGUGUUAAAGGCAAAUGAUGGUCAAACACCUUAAUAAAGAAAUAGCUUAUUUUUCAGGUGUUAACAGUAUUAUGUCCAAGCUCAUUACGUGUUGUUAAAUCAGCAGGGAUACACUAUAAUGUUAUCGUGGUUGGAGCUGGUAACAGAGUAGAAAUCUAUUCUGGCUAUGCUGUGAUUUUUCCUGACCGCAUGCGGGUAUGACUUCUGUUUUAAUAUAAUUUCAACAGUCAGCAAUUCAGCUGUUUCACCACCACGUUAAUAAAUUUCCUCACAGGUAAUGGGAAUUGCUGAACCCAGGGGUUUUGCUCGAAAGAAACUUCAGGCACAUCACAAAGUAUCUGAUCAAAACACUUUCAAUAGUAUGUCCAGCUUUUUGUUACAGUAAAAGUGUUUAUUCACAUAGAGUGGGGCUGUAAAGCAGAGAGAGAGAAAUUUGCAGAUGCUGUUUUGAUCUGCACUCCUGAUCGUCUUCAUAAGGUAUGUCCAUGUGCGUUUGGUCAGUGUUCACAUGAUAGAGUUCUCUUGAUCAGCAUGGUGUGAUUAGCUUUUUUUUUACUGGUUAAUGAAUGGCAUACUUGCACUUUAAGUUGUCUGCUUUGAAUGGGUUCAGUGUCCAACCAUUUUAUUGUUCUUCAGGACCCUGCUGUGGCUUUAGCUAAGAAAGGUUACCAUGUACUGCUGGAUAAACCAAUGGCUGUUACAGAGGAGGACUGCACCGAGAUUGUAGAGGCUUGCAUUCAGAGUGGCGUCAUGCUCACAGUGUGCCAUGUUCUCCGAUACGACCCUAUCAUCCACAGAAUUAAAGGGCUGAUUGACAGUGGAGUGAUUGGCGAUGUCUUCCACAUUCAACAUCUGGAACCGGUGGGGUUCUAUCAUUUUGCUCAUUCCUUUGUCAGAGGAAACUGGAGAAACGAGGCGGAAAGCUCUUUUGCUCUGUUAGGCUUAUGCUGACAUGAUUUGGAUCUGAUUCAUCACUGGGCUGGUGGACGAAGGUGCACUAAAUCUAACAUGACCUGUGCACAUGUGGCGAAGCUAAACUCAGUGAAUUAAUAGAAAGAGUGCUUCUUUAAUUAGUGUGUUUAGGCUGAUUGCACAGGACAAUAAGAGUUUAACCUCAUUGGAUGAUGAUGUGAUGCUGCUAUUAUAAUUAUAUUGGAAAGGGGCUCUUUUGGCUCUGGCCUGUUUUUUGAGAUUUCUUUCUUCAAAUUAUCGUCAAAAUAUAUCCUUUUUUUUUUUUUUUUAUCAAAAUUCUUCAUCAAUAUUCAUAAAGUUUUAAGGUAGUUCUUGAAGUUAAAUAACAUUUUUAGAUUAACAUUUUAUUAUGCAGGCUUAUCAAAGUUUUGUCAUUUUGUUGCCUUAGCCACUUCACAAAAGAUAACAAGGUUGGUAUUAACAUUAUUAUGUUUACUAUUGUGAGAUCUCAUGAAAAAAUGUAUUUCACAAUUUUCCUAGCCAGCUGCAAUGCUGCAGAUCGCUGUUUAGACUGUCCUGUAGAGGGGGACUGUGCAUAAUCUGCACAUAAAGAGUAAUGCAUUCAUGUACACUACAGUUCAGAAGUUUGGGGUCAGCAAGAUUUAAAAAAAAAAAAAAAAAAAAAGUAAUACUUUUAUUUAGCCAAGAUAAAGAGUUUUAUGUUACAGAAGAAGUGUUUCUUGCAAAUCAGCAUAUUAGAAUGAUUUCUGAAGGAUCAUGUGACACUGAAGACAGAAGUAAAGGCUGCUGAUAAUUCAGCUGUGUCAUCACAGGAAUAAAUUACAUUUUAAAAUAUAUUCAAAUAGAAAACAGCUAUUUUAAAUUUUCAUAAUAUUUUACAAUAUUUAUGAUCAAAUAAAUGCAUCCUUGGUGAGCAUAAAAUAUUUCUUCUUUUUUUAAAAAACAAAAACAAAAACAAAACAUAACCCCAUAAUUUUGUAAAAGUGACACAUCAUUACUUUCUGCUUAAUGAAGUUUGUGAUCAUAUGAUGUAUAUAGCACAAAAUAAAAACAUAUAUUUUAUGGAUGACAUUUUAUUCAUAAAUCAGGGCGGUGUUGAAUCUUCUGUUGAUUUAUUAUGCAGAUGAAUAAUAAUAAUAAAAAAGGACCAUGA